rnacentral:rRNA from 1 species
UACGUAGGUGGCAAGCGUUGUCCGGAAUUACUGGGCGUAAAGCGUGCGCAGGCGGUUAUGCAAGACAGAGGUGAAAUCCCCGGGCUCAACCUGGGAACUGCCUUUGUGACUGCAUAGCUAGAGUACGGUAGAGGGGGAUGGAAUUCCGCGUGUAGCAGUGAAAUGCGUAGAUAUGCGGAGGAACACCGAUGGCGAAGGCAAUCCCCUGGACCUGUACUGACGCUCAUGCACGAAAGCGUGGGGAGCAAACAGG